GAGGAUCUCCUGCAGUGCCACAGGAGCUCUUCUGUCCUGCCUUUCUUUGCAGCUGAACCUGCCGGUGAAGACCCCACAUCCAGGACUGAGGCUCUGGGAGAUGCUGAGGGUGUGUCUGCAGGGAGGACUUCUCAGGCUCCAGGGCUGGAUGCUUGGCCCCAACCCAGCUCCCAUGGCAGGGGUGAGUAGUGUGUCGCUUCUGACCUCACAGGCUGAGCCCUGCUUUUGUGGGAUCCAUUCCUGGGAAAUGGAACUACUUUCUCUUAAGGUCCUCCAAAAGGAAAGACCCAAGAUACUGCAGCCAAAACAUCUCAUGAGGCAGAUGAAUUCCUGAGACAAACACAGAAGCAAGCACCCGGAGGACAAGAUGCAGCCGGCAUCACAAGACCUGUUCCCAAUGCCCAGGAUGGCCUCGGAAGGGGUUUCUGUCAGGGAAGAGGCUGCUGGCUAGGGUUACUGGCAGGCGUGCUUUCUUUGGAGCUUGUCUUCAUGUUGUGCUGCUUUGGAAUCGGGUAUUCUUGGAACAGAAAACAGAGCACCUCUCCCACUUCACAAGACCAGCCUAAUACCUCAGCCAUGGAGAACUUGGCCUGUCAUCAUGCAUCUCCGUGCCAGUGUCCGUUGUCCUUACCACAGGUGUAUUACCAGCUUGUAGCUGGAAGUAUGCUACAACCACUGCCUAGAACAGAUCCGUCUCUCCCUGAAGGGAAUGACCUAGCUGCCCAUCCAGGAUAGGAGGUGCAGCCCUCUAGCCAGGGAAUGGAUUAUUCGAAAAGUUAUAUUUACUUGUAAAAAUUUUAGAUGUUUAUUAAAAACCUUAUUAGAAAUAUAACAGGACACUGAAUAAAGACAAUGUUACUGUGCCGGGAGUAGAGGAUUUUUCCCACCACAUUCUCAUGCACGCAAUGGAGGUCUCACCUUUUAACUCUUUUGCCCUUCUUAAAGUUCUGUCUAUCGACUCCUUCUUUGAUGUCCAGUGCUGGAGUUUACUUCCUUACAUCUCGAUUGGAGGUCAGGUGCUGCUGUCGUAGCAAGGUGACCCUCUUAAAUGUCUCAAACUCAGGUAAUCCCAAGAUAACAACACAACAGGGGGUAAAACAUAUCUAUAUAUAUAUA